CCUGGUGGUUCUGGCGGGGUGGCUGCACCCGUUCCCAUUCCGAACACGGCCGUGAAACGCCCCAGCGCCG
rnacentral:rRNA from 1 species